rnacentral:rRNA from 1 species
GAUGAACGCUGGCGGCGUGCCUAAUACAUGCAAGUCGAGCGAACGGACGAGAAGCUUGCUUCUCUGAUGUUAGCGGCGGACGGGUGAGUAACACGUGGAUAACCUACCUAUAAGACUGGGAUAACUUCGGGAAACCGGAGCUAAUACCGGAUAAUAUUUUGAACCGCAUGGUUCAAAAGUGAAAGACGGUCUUGCUGUCACUUAUAGAUGGAUCCGCGCUGCAUUAGCUAGUUGGUAAGGUAACGGCUUACCAAGGCAACGAUGCAUAGCCGACCUGAGAGGGUGAUCGGCCACACUGGAACUGAGACACGGUCCAGACUCCUAGGGGAGGCAGCAGUAGGGAAUCUUGCGAAAUGGGCGGAAGCCUGACGGAGCAACGCCGCGUGAGUGAUGAAGGUCUUCGGAUCGUAAAACUCUGUUAUUAGGGAAGACCAUAUGUGUAAGUAGCUGUGCACAUCUUGACGGUACCUAAUCAGAAAGCCACGGCUAACUACGUG